rnacentral:rRNA from 1 species
AUGCCAGUCGAGCGGAAACGNCCUUCAGGGAUCUCGAGCGGCGAACGGUCGAGUAACACGAGAGAAACCUACCCUCAGCUCUGGGAUAGCUCCGGGAAACCGGAAUUAACACCGGAUAUGACCACAAUCGACAUCGGCUGUGGUGGAAAGGAUUCCGGCUGAGGAUGGGCUCGCGGCCUAUCAGCUAGUUGGUGGGGUAACGGCCCACCAAGGCGACGACGGGUAGCUGGUCUGAGAGGGCGACCGGCCACACUGGGACUGAGACACGGCCCAGACUCCUACGGGAGGCAGCAGUGGG